rnacentral:rRNA from 1 species
CAGUAGCCGCGGUAAUACGGAGGGUGCAAGCGUUAAUCGGAAUUACUGGGCGUAAAGCGUGCGUAGGCGGUUCGUUAAGUCUGUUGUGAAAGCCCCGGGCUCAACCUGGGAAUGGCAAUGGAUACUGGCGAGCUAGAGUGUGUCAGAGGAUGGUGGAAUUCCCGGUGUAGCGGUGAAAUGCGUAGAGAUCUGGAGGAAUACCGAUGGCGAAGGCAGCCAUCUGGCCUAAUACUGACGCUGAGGUACGAAAGCAUGGGGAGCAAACAGGAUUAGAUACCCCCGUAGUCCCUGUCUCUUAUAA